AGAAAUCCGUUAGUGAAAUAUUAACGGACCCUUUUCCCGUUAGAAAUCCAUAAGUGAAUUUUUGGAGCCAAAUACAAAGACCUAAAUGAAAUCCCUAAAUCCUUUGCUUGUAAAAUCAAAAUCAAAAUCACUCUGAAAUCUGAACUUGCCUCCAACUUCUCGGUCGUUCACUGUCGCCGGCAUCCAUCGUCCGGCGCCAUCAAUGGUUCGCCCCCAUCCACCGUCGACAAGUGCGCCCUUUCUCGGCAUCACUGUCCACGUGCUCACUGAAAUCUGAACUUGCGUCCAACGGAACGGUCGUUCACUGCCGCAGCAUCCAACGUCCGCCGCCAUCAAAGGUUCGCCGCCAUCUAUUUCUAAAUUUCCCACUCCACGAUUUCAAAUUUCCUCGAAAAAACUUGUUCUUUAUUGGAAAACUAUUUGCUUCGAUUUCUUUAUCUAUUUCCUCAAAAAAUCUGAACCUGCACCAGCUCAAGGAAAACUUUUUUUUUUCCAAGAAAAAAGAAAAGCUCAUGGAAAAAUAGAUUGAUUGUGGAUUUUUGCUAUAAAAAAAAAUGCAUGCCCAGGUUGUUGGAAAUAUUGUAAAGCAUGAAGAUGGGUAUUAUUUUUUUUUUUAAAGCUAUAUUGCUACCUGUUUGAAUUUAUAGCAUUUGGAUGAAACUGAUAUGUUGUGCGUAUCCUAUCAUUCAGGUCUGAGCAUUGUG
rnacentral:lncRNA from 1 species